UACGGGAGGCAGCAGUAGGGAAUCUUCCGCAAUGGACGAAAGUCUGACGGAGCAACGCCGCGUGAACGAUGAAGGCUUUCGGGUCGUAAAGUUCUGUUGUUAGGGAGAACAAGUACCAGAGUAACUGCUGGUACCUUGACGGUACCUAACCAGAAAGCCACGGCUAACUACGUGCCAGCAGCCGCGGUAAUACGUAGGUGGCAAGCGUUGUCCGGAAUUAUUGGGCGUAAAGCGCGCGCAGGUGGUCCUUUAAGUCUGAUGUGAAAGCCCACGGCUCAACCGUGGAGGGUCAUUGGAAACUGGGGGACUUGAGUGCAGAAGAGGAAAGUGGAAUUCCACGUGUAGCGGUGAAAUGCGUAGAGAUGUGGAGGAACACCAGUGGCGAAGGCGACUUUUCUGGUCUGUAACUGGACACUGAGGCGCGAAAGCGUGGGGAGCGAACAGGGAUUAGGAUACC
rnacentral:rRNA from 1 species